CUUAAUCUAUUUUUUUUUUGGGCCAUUUUUCCAUGAAGCCAACAGAAAAUUGAAAAAAAUGCUACCAUGUCCAUUUGGGAGACUGCUGUUGGGGGAAAAACGUGAAAAAGGACACAUACUGGCAGUACUGUGUAUAAAGGUAUGUAGGGGAGAUUGGGGUAAAAUUAGCCAUUUUUCAUAUUUCAGAUCACUACAUCAAGGCAAUCAUAGUUUUGUCUCUGACUAGGGUAUCUGCACAUAUUUCAAGAUGUUGUGCAUCCCUGCAAACCAACUGUCUUGAUAAUAUAGCAUGCAAAAAAGCUGGUCUCCUAUGGUCAACUUAUCCCAGCCCCCCCUCACCUUCUCUCUCCCUAAAUAACAGUCACUUCUUCACAUUUAUGUGUAUUUUUAUCUAUUAUACACUAUUUAACUGGUACAAUAAUUCUUUUUAUUAUUAUUGCAUGUAACUGCUAAAAAGCUGUUUUGUAAAAAGCCAUUUAAUCAUGAGGAUUUCAAGUGAUUCAGAACAUUCACAGCUGUAUUUUUUAAUAGAAAAAGUAACACACUUCAACAAUCUGAACUGAAACUCUGAUCCUCUCAUCAGACUCCUUUACUUUCUCAGUUGAGCCACUGGCUCAACUUACCCCAGAACUACUAUGAUGACUUUAUUAAUCCUCUAAGGUAAAAUGGACUUUUAUGAUAGGUUUUUGACCUCAUGUUGUAGUUCAUAGAUACCACAAUUGAUGUAUAAAACAAAUUUAAAAUGAUCUUUUUUGGUCUGAACACAAUUCUAAUAAAAUGUAUGACAGACUAAAUUCACUUUUAAGAGUUAAAAAUGUUUUUUUUGGAAAUAAAUGUCUAACCCCUUCACCCAUGUGCUUCUAACCUUCACAGACUCCAUGAAUUGAUGCCCAUCUCCUAAAUAUUUGGUCACAUGAUCAAUUUCUUUUACCAUUUCCAAGCAACUGACCUACUGACUUAUGAUAUUGAACAGUAAAGUAGAUGUUUACAUCAUUUAAAAUAAAUGCUUUAUACAACAACCGACUACACAGGGAUUAGUGGUCAAUCUUUUUUCUCGUCUUUUCUCAAUCUAUUUAAUUAGCUUUUUUUUUUUUUUUUUUUUUCAUUUUUAGCAAUCUUACCGCGAGCUGCCCAAUUAGCAAACAGAAAAUUUCCAUUGUGAAGAAAUGCCACUAUAUCCAAUUGGGAGAUUUUACGAAGCUAUAGGGGGGAAAAACAUGAAAAAGGACACAUACUGGCAGUACUGUGUAUACAG